GCCAGUAUAGUGGAUAUGACCCUAGGCUUGUUACCAAGUGGGCUCGGGUUCGAAUCCCGAAUAAGGCA
rnacentral:tRNA from 1 species